GAAAGAAACACACUUUGCAGCCAUCAAUGUAAAACUGGACAGCUGCCUAAUUUUGAAUUUUCAUCAAUUACCAACAUUUUAAUUUCUGCUUAAUUGUAAAUACUAACAUUUAAUGUUAUUGAAUAAAUUUCAAAUAAUCCAGAAUAAAUGUUCAUUCUACCAUGAAAUUAAAAAUUAGUUAUUUCCACAACAAACAAGUUAAAUAAUCCAUUAACACAUCUUAGUCUUUACAAAAUUACCAAAUCAACUCAAAGGACAAGAGCAUAAACAGACUGCAGGCCAAGCUGUUAAAGCGCAUUUUUAGCUAGAUUAAUUCUGGUUCCCUCAAAGUACCUUGGAGAAUGUAGAAAAACAUAGUGAAUCCCACAGAGCAAUGAAUUCUGUAAUUUUCAUAUUGAUGAUAUUAACUUGAAGUUACUCUUUCCCAGGUACCCCUUAUUUAUAAGAAAAAAUAGCUUUGGUUUUUAAAAAUGCCUUCAUUUGAAGGGCUAAAAAUGUCAAACCUGUGACUGUUCUGCCAAAACUGCAAAUACAUUCCUAAGUUCCAAAAUUCUAUGGCAGAGUUUCCUAUUUACAAGCUGUAAGUAAACAAAAAACACUAAAACAAAAUUUCCUAAAUAGCUUGAAAUUCCAACAUUAUUUAUAAGCAUGUAGAAGAAAAUUAUCUGGAUUCUACAUAGUAAGCAGGUACAGUAUUUUAAAAUAUUCCAUGUAAAAUAUAACAAUAUUUUAAGAAAAAUGAUUUAUCUCUUGAUUAUAAUUUGACUAGCUUAGCUUCCUUACCAAACAUUAUCCUCUUCUCCCAAGCAAAGAACUGAAGUACAAAAGGCCAGAUUCUGCCUAGCAACAGAGUAAAUGAGUGGCAAGGAAAAUAAAAUUGGCAAAUUUAGCUGGCUUUGGUUUCCUGGUGCUUCAUUUCUUGCCUUUUACUAAACAAAGAUAAGUAAUCCAAACUAAUCAAUUUUCUUGACUACCUCAGGAACCCAGGACGGAGUAGAAUGGUUGACCACCAUCCACCUGAAACAGAACAGCUAAGGAAAAAAGUGGCCACCAGAGGAAGAACACUUGUCUGCAUCCUUUUCAGGACUCAUGUGGGAUUACUUUCCAGGUACAGCCAACAGACAGAUAUAUCCCAGUUACAGAAUGGAAACACUUUCUAAAAGAAGAGACUGAGGAAAGGCCAGGUAACUUACAGGGCAGAGAUGUGGCAGCAGCCUCAGGCGUCCCAGGGCACCCCGAGACAGGGGCUCCGGC